GUAUAAAAACAAGGAUACUUGCAUCGCGAGGUUUGCUGUCGUUUGAAGAAUUCGUGGAUAAAAUCAAGAUUUGUGUAGCAGACCUCCCCAAUAUCUGGCCUGUGAGGUUUGUAUACUGUGACACAGCUGUUACUGCAAUCUAAUUGUGACGUCAAUGCAGUGACCAAAUAUGGCAACACAUUUUUGCAUGUAACCUGUUAACGCAUUGGCACAGUGAAUAUGUCGAAGUUUAAAUCUAAUGUAAUGAACAACCGUAGAAGGACAUCUCUGCUUUCAGCCUGUCAAAGUGAGCACAGCAAGAUAGUAGGUCUGUUCCAGCUGUCUAAACCGGACGUCAAUGUGAUGAAUAAUCAUGAAAACAGCUUUCUGCAUCUGGCUUGUUGUGGUAGACACUAUGACAUGGUGGAGAUGGUCUUGAAGUCUGACCUUGAUACCCAUAUUGCAGAUUCAAAUGGUAACAUGCCUCCACAUCUUGCAAUUCAAUGAUGGUGACUCCCAAGGUAUUUACCUCAGGACUCAAUGUAUGUACUCUUACAAGAACAGAUCACGUGUGCAAUAUAUUUGGAACAAUAUUAGAGCUUGGUCUUUGUAAGUGGACAUACCACUUGUAAAGUAUGUAAAGAAAAUGCUAUUUGUGUUAGAAAACUUAGGAAUAAAACAAUUCUCAUUGAAA
rnacentral:lncRNA from 1 species